rnacentral:rRNA from 1 species
CUGGCUCAGGAUGAACGCUGGCGGCGUGCCUAAUACAUGCAAGUCGAGCGAACAGAUAAGGAGCUUGCUCCUUUGACGUUAGCGGCGGACGGGUGAGUAACACGUGGAUAACCUACCUAUAAGACUGGGAUAACUUCGGGAAACCGGAGCUAAUACCGGAUAAGAUUUUGAACCGCAUGGUUCAAUAGUGAAAGACGGCCUUGCUGUCACUUAUAGAUGGAUCCGCGCCGUAUUAGCUAGUUGGUAAGGUAACGGCUUACCAAGGCAACGAUACGUAGCCGACCUGAGAGGGUGAUCGGCCACACUGGAACUGAGACACGGUCCAGACUCCUACGGGAGGCAGCAGUAGGGAAUCUUCCGCAAUGGGCGAAAGCCUGACGGAGCAACGCCGCGUGAGUGAUGAAGGUCUUCGGAUCGUAAAACUCUGUUAUCAGGGAAGAACAAACGUGUAAGUAACUGUGCACGUCUUGACGGUACCGAUCAGAAAGCC